AUAAAGGAAAAAUAAUUGAUGUCAUCUACCUGCAUUUGUGCAGAGCAUUUGAUACUGUCCCACAUGACAUCCUGGUCAACCAAUUGAAGAAAAAUGGAUUUGAUGGAUGGACCACUCACUGGAUAAGGAAUUGGCUGGAUGGUCGCAUUUAGAGAGUUUCAGUCAACAGCUCAACAUCCAUGUGGAGAACAGUGACAAGUGGCGUUCCUCGGGGAUUGAUGCUGGGACCAAUACUGUUUAACAUCUUAUUAGGUCGUUGAUGAAGAUGUUGAGCAAGACUGGAUCCAGUACCAACCUCUGGGGAACACCGAUGGUGACAGGUCUUCAACCAGACUCUGUGCCACUGAUGCAGUGAGCUCUGACCUUCUGAGCUCUGCCAGUUGACCAGUUGUCAAUCCACCUCACCAUCCACUCAUCUAUCCCCACACUUUCUAAGUUUUAUAACAAGGAUGGUGUGGAAUAUGGUGUCAAAUGCUUUGCUGAAGUCACACAACAAGGCACACAACAUCCACUGCUUUCCUCCCAUCUACCCAGCCAGUGAGAUGACAACAUAGAAGGCUAUCAGGCCCACUGCUGACACCACAGACACUGCUGGCACGCCUGUUGGUGGUGGCAGGGAGCCCUGUUGCAGACCGCAAACUCCAAGCCACUGCCUUACUGCUCAUGCAAAACCUCCACAGCAGGAUCCACAGAGCUGUGGGGGCCAUGUGGGCUGCUGAGAUCCCCCUGCUGCUACAUUCCUGAGGGCGUUGCUGGAGACCAUGGAGGAUGAGGCCUGGACCAAGGCCCUGAGCUGUGAGCUGAGCCAGUGGCUGAGCAGCUCUCCCAGCAGCUCUGGAGAAAAGUCUUUCCUGUACAAGGCUCUAGGGACAGCGCUAGGAGCUUGUAAGGGUGUCCUCCACAUCCAAGAGAAGCUGCUGCCACACCUGGAGGAAGCAAAUGCAGAGGUGUCAUCUGAGGCCCAGAUGAGCUCUCCUCUCCUCCAGCUUCUAAUGCAGAGAUUAAAAUCUCUUCCUGAAUCGGCUGAGAGAUGAUAUAAAUACAGCCUUUCUACUACUCUUCUAGGAUGCAAUGUGAAAGAUAAACCUCUGAAAGUGCCUAAGCACCUCUCUGUAUUGGCAGUAUACAGAAGAAACCUGGCAUUACAGAACUGUUGUGGUUUAACCUGAGCGACCCAUCCAUAACAAGGCAGCCUGUGUGGAUCCCUGCAGAAACUCUCACAAGCCCAGGAACUUCUGUGCUCCUAUGGGGUUGCUCAGCCAGAAGCACAUCCCUUAACUCUCUGUCUUGGAAGAUGAACUGAAGAUAGCAGUACACAUACAUAGUUUUCUUCCAGUCAAACAUAUAAAAGGAUCUUCUACACUUGGAUAAAGGCCUUCUAGAGCCAUUUAUUUCUGUUCAGUACUUGCUCUUACCUUGAAUAGAAAUAAGCAGU
ensembl:lncRNA